rnacentral:rRNA from 1 species
AGCUUGUACAGGUGCUGCAUGGCUGUCGUCAGCUCGUGUCGUGAGAUGUUCGGUUAAGUCCGCUAACGAGCGCAACCCUCGCUGUGUGUUGCAAGUGUCACACGGAACUGCCGGUCAUAAACCGGAGGAAGGUGGGGAUGACGUCAAGUCAGCAUGGCCUUUAUAUCCUGGGCUACACACACGCUACAAUGGUCGGUACAAUAGGUUGCCAAGCCGCGAGGCGGAGCCAAUCCACAAAGCCGGCCUCAGUUCAGAUUGUAGGCUGCAACUCGCCUGCAUGAAGAUGGAGUUGCUAGUAACCGCAGGUCAGCAAUACUGCGGUGAAUACGUUCCCGGGUCUU